rnacentral:rRNA from 1 species
GACGUAGGGCGCGAGCGUUGUCCGGAUUUAUUGGGCGUAAAGAGCUCGUAGGCGGCUUGUUGCGUCGACUGUGAAAACCCGCGGCUUAACUGCGGGCUUGCAGUUGAUACGGGCAGGCUAGAGUUCGGUAGGGGAGACUGGAAUUCCUGGUGUAGCGGUGAAAUGCGCAGAUAUCAGGAGGAACACCGAUGGCGAAGGCAGCUCGCUGGGACGGUACUGACGCUGAGGAGCGAAAGCGUGGGGAGCAAACAGG